rnacentral:rRNA from 1 species
AGAGUUCGAUUCUGGCUCAGGACGAACGCUGGCGGCGUGCCUAACACAUGCAAGUCGAACGGAGUUAAGCGCUGAAAUGAAGAUAGCUUGCUAUAAGAUUUUCUUGUUUAACUUAGUGGCGGACGGGUGAGUAACGCGUGAGGAACCUGCCUUACAGAGGGGGACAACAGUUGGAAACGACUGCUAAUACCGCAUGAUGUGGAGGGGAGACAUCUCUCUUUCACCAAAGGAGCAAUCCGCUGUAAGAUGGCCUCGCGUCUGAUUAGAUAGUUGGCGGGGUAAUGGCCCACCAAGUCGACGAUCAGUAGCCGGACUGAGAGGUUGAACGGCCACAUUGGGACUGAGACACGGCCCAG